CCUACGGGGGGCAGCAGUGGGGAAUAUUGCACAAUGGGGGAAACCCUGAUGCAGCGACGCCGCGUGAGUGAAGAAGUAUUUCGGUAUGUAAAGCUCUAUCAGCAGGGAAGAAAUAGCGACCUUUGGGUCGCCAGACGGUACCUGACUAAGAAGCUCCGGUUAACUACGUGCCAGCAGCCGCGGUAAUACGUAGGGGGCAAGCGUUAUCCGGAUUUAAUGGGUGUAAAGGGAGCGUAGACGGCAGCACAAGGAUGAAGUGAAAUGCCGGGGCUUAACCCCGGAACUGCUUUGGAAACUGGGCAGCUAGAGUGCAGGAGAGGUAAGUGGAAGUCCUAGUGUAGCGGUGAAAUGCGUAGAUAUUAGGCGGAACACCAGUGGCGAAGGCGGCUUACUGGACUGUAACUGACGUUGAGGCUCGAAAGCGUGGGGAGCAAACAGGAUUAGAUACCCCAGUAGUC
rnacentral:rRNA from 1 species